CCUACGGGGGGCAGCAGUAGGGAAUAUUGCUCAAUGGGGGAAACCCUGAAGCAGCAACGCCGCGUGGAGGAUGAAGGUUUUCGUAUUGUAAACUCCUUUUGGUAGAGAAGAUAAUGACGGUAUCUAACGAAUAAGCACCGGCUAACUACGUGCCAGCAGCCGCGGUAAUACGGAGGGUGCAAGCGUUACUCGGAAUCACUGGGUGUAAAGAGCGCGUAGGCGGGAUGGCAAGUCUGAAGUGAAAUCCGGUGGCUUAACCAUAGAACUGCAGUUGAAACUGUUAUGCUAGAGUACAGGAGAGGUAGGUGGAAUUCUUGGUGUAGAGGUAAAAUGCGUAGAGAUUAAGAGGAAUACUCAUGGCGAAGGCGACCUGCUAGAACAUAACUGACGUUGAUGCGCGAAAGCGUGGGGAGCAAACAGGAUUAGAUACCCUUGUAGUC
rnacentral:rRNA from 1 species